rnacentral:lncRNA from 1 species
GGGUUUCAAUGAAAGAUAGGCCGAGUUUGAGUGGAGAGAAUUUGAUUUACGUGUCAACUCAUGAGGACCCAGGUGAACCCAGGACGAGUUGGGCUGCUGUGUACUCGACUCAUUUAGGAACCGGGUUGACUCGACGACUCACUCCUUCCGGAAUCGCCGACUUUAGCCCCGCCGUGUCUCCAUCUGGGGUUUGGACAGCUGUGGCUUCGUAUGGGAAAGAAGGGUGGGGUGGGGAAGUGGAAGAACUGAGUACUGAUAUUUAUGUUUUCUUGACUCGUGAUGGGACUCACCGAGUCAAGGUUGUUGAACACGGUGGGUGGCCGUGUUGGGUUGAUGACUCAACUCUGUACUUCCAUAGGAGAAGUGAAGACCAGUGGAUAAGCGUUUACAAAGCAACUUUCCCUAAAAACAAACCCGUUUCUACCGAGUCGGUGACGAUUCAGCGAGUCACACCACCGGGUCUCCACGCUUUCACCCCAGCUACAUCCCCAGGUAACCAUAAGUUCAUAGCAGUAGCUACAAGAAGACCCAAUUCAAGUUUUCGCCACAUAGAACUGUUUGACACUGUUAAAAACGAGUUUAUUGAGCUAACUCGGCAUGUUUCUCCUACAACCCAUCACUUAAACCCGUUCAUAUCACCCGACUCAGCCCGAGUUGGGUACCAUAAGUGUAGGGGAGAAAGUAAUGGAGCAAAAGCUACUCAAUUAUUGCUUGAAAAUGUUAAAAGCCCAGUGCGGAAUCUCUCUCUUUUCAGAAUGUACGGUUCAUUCCCUUCUUUCUCACCCGCGGGUGACCGAAUAGCCUACGUGGAUUUCCCCGGUGUUUAUGUAGUGAACCGGGACGGUUCGAACCUGCGCCAGGUUUUCCACUUGAAUGCUUUUGGAAGCGCUUGGGACCCGGUACGAAAGGGAAUUGUAUACACAAGUGCUGGACCGGAGUUUUCAAGUGUGAGUACUGAAGUUGAUAUUGUAUCCAUCAACGUUGAUGAUGUUGAGCAAUCAAAUUAUAAAAGGUUGACCAUAGAUGGGAAGAACAAUGCAUUUCCCUCGCCAUCACCCGACGGGAAACGGAUUGUAUUCAGGUCGGGACGGUCGGGUCACAAGAACUUAUAUAUAAUGGAUGCAAUCGAAGGGGAGACGAGUUGGAUUGAAAGACUAACAGAUGGUCCGUGGACGGAC